AUACGGGGGAUGCAAGCGUUAAUCGGAAUUACUGGGCGUAAAGCGCGCGUAGGCGGUUUGCUCAGUCGGAUGUGAAAGCCCAGGGCUCAACCUUGGAACUGCAUACGAUACUGGCAAACUAGAGUGUGAGAGAGGAUAGUGGAAUUUCCGGUGUAGCGGUGAAAUGCGUAGAUAUCGGAAGGAACAUCAGUGGCGAAGGCGACUGUCUGGAUCAACACUGACGCUGAGGUGCGAAAGCGUGGGUAGCAAACAGGAUUAGAUACCCUAGUAGUCC
rnacentral:rRNA from 1 species